GAUGAACGCUAGCGACAGGCUUAACACAUGCAAGUCGAGGGGCAUCAUGAGGUAGCAAUACCUUGAUGGCGACCGGCGCACGGGUGAGUAACGCGUAUGCAACCUGCCCGAUACCGGGGUAUAGCCCAUGGAAACGUGGAUUAACACCCCAUAGUACUUUUAUCCUGCCUGGGAUGGGAGUUAAAUGUUCAAGGUAUCGGAUGGGCAUGCGUCCUAUUAGUUAGUUGGCGGGGUAACAGCCCACCAAGACGAUGAUAGGUAGGGGUUCUGAGAGGAAGGUCCCCCACAUUGGAACUGAGACACGGUCCAAACUACUACGGGAGGCAGCAGUGAGGAAUAUUGGUCAAUGGACGUAAGUCUGAACCAGCCAAGUCGCGUGAGGGAAGACUGCCCUAUGGGUUGUAAACCUCUUUUAUAAGGGAAGAAUAAGUUCUACGUGUAGAAUGAUGCCUGUACCUUAUGAAUAAGCAUCGGCUAACUCCGUGCCAGCCGCCGCAGUAA
rnacentral:rRNA from 1 species